rnacentral:tRNA from 1 species
GGGGGUGUAGCUCAGUGGUAAAGCACUUGCCUAGCACAUAUGAGACCUGAGUUCAAUCCUCAACACCAUGA